rnacentral:rRNA from 1 species
AUUGAACGCUGGCGGCAGGCCUAACACAUGCAAGUCGAGCGCGCGUCGGACGGGUGAGUAAUGUAUGGGGACUGCCCGUUAGGGGGGGAUAACACCUGGAAACGGUAGCUAAUACCGCAUACUAUCGGAUAACCCAUAUGGGAUUAGCUGGUGGGGGGGGUAAUGGCUCACCUAGGCGACGAUCCCUAGCUGGGCUGAGAGGAUGAGCAGCCACACUGGGACGGAGACACGGCCCAGACUCCUACGGAGGCAGCAGUGGGGAAUAUUGCACAAUGGGCGCAAGCCUGAUGCAGCCAUGCCGCGUGUAUGAAGAAGGCCUUAGGGUUGUAAAGUACUUUCAGUCGGGAGGCGUUACCGACAGAAGAAGCACCGGCUAACUCCGUGCCAGCAGCCGCGGUAAUUC